rnacentral:rRNA from 1 species
UACGAAGGGUGCAAGCGUUACUCGGAAUUACUGGGCGUAAAGGGUGCGUAGGUGGUUUUUUAAGUCCGUUGUGAAAGCCCUGGGCUCAACCUGGGAAUGGCGAUGGAUACUGGGAAGCUAGAGUGUGAUAGAGGAUGGUGGAAUUCCCGGUGUAGCGGUGAAAUGCGUAGAGAUCGGGAGGAACACCAGUGGCGAAGGCGGCCAUCUGGAUCAACACUGACGCUGAGGCACGAAAGCGUGGGGAGCAAACAGG